CCCGAACUUCACCGGAAUACCGAACUUAAUAGAGCUGAAGUUAGAUGGUUGUGAAAGUUUAGUUGAGGUUCAUCAUUCUGUUGGAUUCCUAAAUAAGCUUGUGAUCUUAAGUCUUAAAGGCUGCUGUAACCUAGUUCAGUUGCCAACCGAAUUUAGCUUGAAAUCUCUCCUUGCUAUGGAUCUUAGUGAUUCCACUAGGCUAGAGGAAUUUACAAAAAUUGUUGGAAAGAUGGAUUCUUUCGGAGUGUUGAUCCUAUCAUUCACUCGUGUUAAAGAAUUGCAUCCGUCAAUUGGAAAUCUCAUUGGGCUUAAUCAGUUAUGUCUAGUAGAUUGUAAAAAUCUUACAACUCUACCAUGCAGCAUAUAUGAGUUACAAAAUCUAGAGAUCUUAGAUGUGAGUGGAUGCUCAAAAUUUGAUACAUUUCCAGAAAUCAAGAGAAAGAUGAAUUCCUUAAAAAAGUUAUAUCUAAGAGGCAGUGGCAUUACAGAAUUGCAUCCCUCAAUUGGAAAUCUCAUUCGGCUUCUUGAGUUGGAUCUAGCAGAUAGUGAAAAUCUUACAACAAUACCAUGCAGCAUAUAUGAGUUACAAAAUCUAGAGAUCCUAAAUGUGAGUAGAUGCUCAAAUCUUGUUAAAUUUCCAACAAAAGCAAGUAUUUCACAUGAUCAUGACAGUGGCUCGCUAGCGCUUCCCCAGCUACGUGUACUCAAAAUCAAAGGAUGUAAUUUAUCAACUGUUGAUUUCAUUGGGAGUCUUGACUGCUUGAAAACAUUAACCGAACUUGAUCUCUCAAGUAACAAUUUUGUUAGUGUUCCAGCACCUAGCAAAUUUGUCAACUUGCCAAGGAUUGACUUGUAUUGUUGCAAGAGACUUCGAGAGAUUCCAGAGCUUUCAGCAAAUAUACUCGAGGUAAAUGCAUGGGAUUGCGAAUCAUUGGAGAGAUUUUCGAUAUUGCCCAAGUCUUUGAAUAUGAUAGAGAUGAACUUGUGGAAUUGCCAUAGAUUUAGUUACAGUCUGGGCUAUGACAAGGAGAAGAUGAAAAAUAUUUUGCUGAAUAAUCCGAACAACUCCCCGUUUACGCUUGUACUACCUGGUAGUGAGGUUCCAAAGUGGUUCCAUAUUUCAAAGGAGGUUGCUGCUUAUGAAAAAGGCCUGGCAUUGACAUGUGCAGUUUCUUUUGAAAUACCAAGCAAAUUGAAUUGGGAGAACAUAGGACUGGCUCUUUGUUCUGUAUUAGUUGAGGAAACUUUUAGUAUUUUUAUUGACGAUCGAGUUGUUAUUUUCAUCAAUGAGGAACUCAUAGAUCAGAGAUCCAAUCGGCACAGUCCAAUGCCAAUUGGUCAUAUGCGUCUGAAUUAUAUUCCAUUAUGUGAUGAAAUAAAGGGAAAGGUGGAUCAAAACGGUUGGUUGCGUUAUCACUGUCGAGUUCAAUUUUACCCUGUUGAUCGAAUGAAAAGCUGUGGAGUUCACCUCGUCUGCCAACCACCGAAUGAAUAUUCAAAUAAGAUUGUAAUGGCGGCUCCACCUGCCGAUGAGAGUGGUAUGCUAGACUGCCUUUCGUGGCUUUCGUCGCCGUCAAUUGAAGAUGAUUGUGAAUCCUUGGACACAGACGUUGGCCUAGGCAUAAGACGUUGGCUUUCGUGAACCUGCUGAUUUCUUGAUAGCUGCUGUUGGACCAGCUGUUGUUCCUGCAAUCACUUCAGCUAUGGAGAAAACUAUACCUUUGACUAUAUCUGAUUGCUUUCAGCGAGGAGUGGGAGAUAAAGCAGUUAAUCAAUUGGAAAAAUCAGUCAACUCAAAACUUGAUGCUACUGUAUCCAGGCAAAUCGAGGCACAGUUUCAAACAUCGGGUAAACAAGCUCUUCAGGAUGCUCUUAAGUCUAGCAUGGAAGCUUUAGUGGUACCUCCCUUUGAGAAGUCAUGUAAAGCCAUGUUUGAGCAAGUAGAUGCCACAUUCCAGAAGGGAAUGGUUGAACAUGCAAUUGUGGCUCUGCAGCAUUUUGAGUCUGCACGUUCACCAUUGGCCCAUGCUUUAAGGGAAGCAAUUAGCUCCGCAUCAUCAGUGACUCAAACCCUAAGCGGAGAAUUGGAUGAUGGUCAACUUGGAUGGUUACCAGCAAAAAUACACUAAUAUACCUUGAUAGUGGCAAGACUCUUCUGAUGGUCAGAGCAAGCAAGGGAUGUGAUCUAACGGGGUGGCUGAUCAAGAGUUUGCGGCAAAGGUUGCAAUAGGAAGUGGCAUAAUGCUGGAGCUAUAAGCUUAUAUGGUGCUGGUGUUGUAUACUGAGGUUAUUUCAGAAUAGCAGUUCUUAUUAAGGCUCUUUCUAACAAGUCUUCUGCAGUUAACGACACUUAGUUGAGUUUUUAAAAUGAGAUGUAAAUACUUGUAAUCUGAUGCUAAGAAUAAGGGCAAGUGUCUUUUUGUAACUCAAAGAGGAAGUAGCAAAUCUAUCACCAUUGUGCUUCUGCUGUAUAGUGACUGGUAUUUUGUUUCACACUAAUAACAGUGCUCGUUAUCCUUAGAAGUAAAAUUUCACUAGCAAUCCGCAGUGUGUGCUAAACAUGUUUCUAAAAUUAGAUCGGCAUCCUACUA